rnacentral:misc_RNA from 1 species
AAGUCGUAACAAGGUCUCCGUUGGUGAACCUGCGGAAGGAUCAUUACCGAUUUUUAGCGGACCUGAUCUUUGAUCAUGGUCUCUCGAAAACUUGUAUUUAAAACCCCACUCUUAUAAAUUGAAUCAUUUUAUAUGUAUAUAAUAAAUAAAGAUCACUUUCAACAACGGAUCUCUUGGCUCUC